AUUGAACGCUGGCGGUAUGCCUAACACAUGCAAGUCGAACGGCAGCACAGUAAGAGCUUGCUCUGACGGGUGGCGAGUGGCGGACUGGUGAGGAAUACAUCGGAAUCUACUUUUUCGUGGGGGAUAACGUAGGGAAACUUACGCUAAUACCGCAUACGACCUACGGGUGAAAGCAGGGGAUCUUCGGACCUUGCGCGAUUGAAUGAGCCGAUGUCGGAUUAGCUAGUUGGCGGGGUAAAGGCCCACCAAGGCGACGAUCCGUAGCUGGUCUGAGAGGAUGAUCAGCCACACUGGAACUGAGACACGGUCCAGACUCCUACGGGAGGCAGCAGUGGGGAAUAUUGGACAAUGGGCGCAAGCCUGAUCCAGCCAUACCGCGUGGGUGAAGAAGGCCUUCGGGUUGUAAAGCCCUUUUGUUGGGAAAGAAAAGCAGCAGGUUAAUACCCAGCUGUUCUGACGGUACCCAAAGAAUAAGCACCGGCUAACUUCGUG
rnacentral:rRNA from 1 species